GGCAACACGUUGGUGGUCGUUGGAUCGAGAUCGGACAGUCCAGACUUCAAGCUCGGUGUUUUAGUUUUAAAUAAUAAUCAAAAUAUGCAUUGAAAUAUGGACUAUCUGAUUUCGAUCCAACGACCAUUGAUAUGAUGAC
rnacentral:pre_miRNA from 1 species